rnacentral:rRNA from 1 species
GCUUGCUCCUGAUUCAGCGGCGGACGGGUGAGUAAUGCCUAGGAAUCUGCCUGGUAGUGGGGGACAACGUUUCGAAAGGAACGCUAAUACCGCAUACGUCCUACGGGAGAAAGCAGGGGACCUUCGGGCCUUGCGCUAUCAGAUGAGCCUAGGUCGGAUUAGCUAGUUGGUGAGGUAAUGGCUCACCAAGGCGACGAUCCGUAACUGGUCUGAGAGGAUGAUCAGUCACACUGGAACUGAGACACGGUCCAGACUCCUACGGGAGGCAGCAGUGGGGAAUAUUGGACAAUGGGCGAAAGCCUGAUCCAGCCAUGCCGCGUGUGUGAAGAAGGUCUUCGGAUUGUAAAGCACUUUAAGUUGGGAGGAAGGGUUGUAGAUUAAUACUCUGCAAUUUUGACGUUACCGACAGAAUAAGCACCGGCUAACUCUGUGCCAGCAGCCGCGGUAAUACAGAGGGUGCAAGCGUUAAUCGGAAUUACUGGGCGUAAAGCGCGCGUAGGUGGUUCGUUAAGUUGGAUGUGAAAUCCCCGGGCUCAACCUGGGAACUGCA